rnacentral:rRNA from 1 species
UACGGAGGGGGCGAGCGUUGUUCGGAAUUACUGGGCGUAAAGGGCGCGUAGGCGGGCGAUCAAGUCAGGGGUGAAAGGCCUGGGCUCAACCUGGGAAUUGCCUUUGAAACUGAUUGUCUAGAGUCCGGAAGAGGAUGGCGGAAUUCCCAGUGUAGAGGUGAAAUUCGUAGAUAUUGGGAAGAACACCAGUGGCGAAGGCGGCCAUCUGGUCCGGUACUGACGCUGAGGCGCGAAAGCGUGGGGAGCAAACAGG